AGUUUGAUCCUGGCUCAGGACGAACGCUGGCGGCGUGCUUAACACAUGCAAGUCGAACGGUAAGGCCCUUUCGGGGGUACACGAGUGGCGAACGGGUGAGUAACACGUGGGUAAUCUGCCCUGCACUUCGGGAUAAGCCUGGGAAACCGGGUCUAAUACCGGAUAUGAGCUCCUGCCGCAUGGUGGGGGUUGGAAAGUUUUUCGGUGCAGGAUGAGUCCGCGGCCUAUCAGCUUGUUGGUGGGGUAAUGGCCUACCAAGGCGACGACGGGUAGCCGGCCUGAGAGGGUGAUCGGCCACACUGGGACUGAGACACGGCCCAGACUCCUACGGGAGGCAGCAGUGGGGAAUAUUGCACAAUGGGCGAAAGCCUGAUGCAGCGACGCCGCGUGGGGGAUGACGGUCUUCGGAUUGUAAACUCCUUUCAGUAGGGACGAAGCGAAAGUGACGGUACCUGCAGAAGAAGCACCG
rnacentral:rRNA from 1 species